rnacentral:rRNA from 1 species
ACGAACGCUGGCGGCGUGCUUCACACAUGCAAGUCGAGCGGUAAGGCUCCUUCGGGAGUACACGAGCGGCGAACGGGUGAGUAACACGUGAGUAAUCUGCCCUUCACUUCGGGAUAACCACCGGAAACGGUGGCUAAUACCGAAUACGACCAGUCUUCGCAUGAGGUGCUGGUGGAAAGUCUUUUCGGUGAAGGAUGUGCUCGCGGCCUAUCAGCUUGUUGGUGGGGUAAUGGCCUACCAAGGCUUCGACGGGUAGCCGGCCUGAGAGGGUGACCGGCCACACUGGGACUGAGACACGGCCCAGACUCCUACGGGAGGCAGCAGUGGGGAAUAUUGGACAAUGGGCGAAAGCCUGAUCCAGCAACGCCGCGUGAGGGAUGACGGCCUUCGGGUUGUAAACCUCUUUCAGUACCGACGAAGCGCCCUGUCGGGUGGUGACGGUAGGUACAGAAGAAGGACCGGCCAACUACGUG